UGGGGGAAUUUUGGACAAUGGGGGAAACCCUGAUCCAGCCAUCCCGCGUGUGCGAUGAAGGCCUUCGGGUUGUAAAGCACUUUUGGCAGGAAAGAAACGUCGCGGGUUAAUACCCCGCGAAACUGACGGUACCUGCAGAAUAAGCACCGGCUAACUACGUGCUAGCAGCCGCGGUAAUACGUAGGGUGCAAGCGUUAAUCGGAAUUACUGGGCGUAAAGCGUGCGCAGGCGGUUCGGAAAGAAAGAUGUGAAAUCCCAGAGCUUAACUUUGGAACUGCAUUUUUAACUACCGGGCUAGAGUGUGUCAGAGGGAGGUGGAAUUCCGCGUGUAGCAGUGAAAUGCGUAGAUAUGCGGAGGAACACCGAUGGCGAAGGCAGCCUCCUGGGAUAACACUGACGCUCAUGCACGAAAGCGUGGGGAGCAAACAGGAUUAGAUACCCUGGUAGUCCACGCCCUAAACGAUGUCAACUAGCUGUUGGGGGCCUUCGGGCCUUGGUAGCGCAGCUAACGCGUGAAGUUGACCGCCUGGGGAGUACGGUCGCAAG
rnacentral:rRNA from 1 species